rnacentral:rRNA from 1 species
UACGUAGGUGGCAAGCGUUGUCCGGAUUUACUGGGCGUAAAGAGCGCGCAGGCGGUCGUUCAAGUCGCGUGUGAAAGCCCCCGGCUCAACUGGGGAGGGUCACGCGAUACUGAUCGACUCGAAGGCAGGAGAGGGUAGUGGAAUUCCCGGUGUAGUGGUGAAAUGCGUAGAUAUCGGGAGGAACCCCAGUGGCGAAGGCGACUACCUGGCCUGUUUCUUGACGCUGAGGCGCGAAAGCUAGGGGAGCAAACGGG